rnacentral:rRNA from 1 species
UACGAAGGGGGCUAGCGUUGUUCGGAAUUACUGGGCGUAAAGCGUGCGCAGGCGGCUAUCCAAGUCAGUGGUGAAAGCCCGGAGCUCAACUCCGGAACUGCCAUUGAAACUGUUUAGCUCGAGUACGAGAGAGGUGAGUGGAAUUCCCAGUGUAGAGGUGAAAUUCGUAGAUAUUGGGAAGAACACCGGUGGCGAAGGCGGCUCACUGGCCCGGUACUGACGCUGAGGUGCGAAAGCGUGGGGAGCAAACAGG